GCAUAUCAAUAAGCGGAGGAAAAGAAACCAACCGGGAUUGCCUCAGUAACGGCGAGUGAAGCGGCAAGAGCUCAAAUUUGAAAGCUGGCUCCUUCGGAGUCCGCAUUGUAAUUUGCAGAGGAUGCUUUGGGUGCGGCCCCCGUCUAAGUGCCCUGGAACGGGCCGUCAGAGAGGGUGAGAAUCCCGUCUUGGGCGGGGUGUCCGUGCCCGUGUAAAGCUCCUUCGACGAGUCGAGUUGUUUGGGAAUGCAGCUCUAAAUGGGUGGUAAAUUUCAUCUAAAGCUAAAUACUGGCCGGAGACCGAUAGCGCACAAGUAGAGUGAUCGAAAGAUGAAAAGCACUUUGAAAAGAGAGUUAAACAGCACGUGAAAUUGUUGAAAGGGAAGCGCUUGCGACCAGACUCGCCCGCGGGGUUCAGCCGGCAUUCGUGCCGGUGUACUUCCCCGUGGGCGGGCCAGCGUCGGUUUGGGCGGCCGGUCAAAGGCCCCUGGAAUGUAGUGCCCUCCGGGGCACCUUAUAGCCAGGGGUGCAAUGCGGCCAGCCUGGACCGAGGAACGCGCUUCGGCACGGACGCUGGCAUAAUGGUCGUAAACGACCCGUCUUGAAACACGGACC
rnacentral:rRNA from 3 species